rnacentral:lncRNA from 1 species
CCUGGGGGAAGAACCUUCCAGAUGGGAUGUUCAUUAUGGUCUUCAUGUCGUCCUCAUUGCUCGAUGGGAACUCUACUCAAACAUAAUGAUGUUUGACUUACAUCUGGCUGUCAGCAGCUGCUGAGUGGAGCUGUCGCUGCCUCCCUUCCCCCUUUUAUGUCGUAACUGGAUCCCCAAUGUUUAACCGGGUACGUGGCUGCCCAGAGCUAAUGCAAUGUUUUCCAGCUUCCUCCACAGCGAGGGACGGCUCCGUGACAGGGUUCUGGCCAACGGGGUGUAGGCCGCACGAGCGUGCAGCUCCUGAGAAGUAUCUUUACAGGGAGCUCGCAGACCCUUUUCUUUCCUCUUCCUCGUUCCCCUGGCUUGGAUGGAGACGUGAUCCCCGGAGCGGGGGCAGCCUCCUUGUAUCACGAGGCGGGUGGUCGAGUGUAGCAGGACAGGCUCUUAAAAGGAAUCUGGAUCCUUGAUGGUCUUAGAAUUUAUGUACCCGUUGGCCCGGGACUCCUUACCUUUACACUUCAUGUAUGUGACAAAGAAAAAUAAACCUACUUUAUUAAGCAAAUGUUACUUUGGCUUUUCUGCCUCUUGCAGCCCAAUUCUUUUUUUUUUUUUUUUUUAGUUUUAUUUUUUAUUUUUUAUUUUUUUUUUUUUUUGCAGCCCAAUCCUAACAAAAACACUGUGGAUUCGAGUCUGCGUGUCUUAGCUGCUGGCGCUGCCUCACGCUAUCCCUCCUCAGCUGUGUUCAGGCUACGUCACGGUGGCUUUCGCUUCUCUGACUCAGAUCCUAUUUCCGCAGCCUGCAGGUUUCUGUCUGACUCCUUGCCUCCGACCUGGGGCCGAGCAUUCUGGAGGGUCCGACGUUACCCCGCCUCCGAGCGGUCUUCUCCAGCCCACAGCCCCAUUGCUCUGCCUUCUCCCUUCACUGCCACACAGCCCUGCCCUCCGAUCCCGCUCCCUGGGACUUCAUCAAACCGUCUUGCUUCUCAGCCCGAAGCUUCACGAAGACAAGGACCGGGCCUGCUGCGGGCAGCUCUGUCAUCAACCCCUCGAGGCAAGCACCCAGCUCCGUUCCUCGGGACCCCUGAUGCAUCAGAACUCCGUGGUGUUAUCAUUUCCUCUUUGCAGGUGAGGGAGAUCCGUCCCACAGAGGCGGUACGUGCAGCCUUGGGCCUCUGUACUCACUGCAUCACCGCAUCAGCGUCACCCUAACACCUGCCACGUCCGACAGGGACCCAGAGCGGUUGCUGGCCGACUCCCACUCCCAUCGGGGUCUCUGCACGGUUGCCCAGGGCCUGGUGAGCCUCUAAGACUCCAGGGCAUGGAGUCGCCACCCGGUGGCGCAGCGGUUUAGCGCCGUCUUCAGCCCAGGGCGUGAUCCUGGAGACCCGGGAUCGAGUCCCACAUCGGGCUCCCUGCCUGGAGCCUGCUUCUCCCUCUGCCUGGGUCUCUGCCCCCGCCCCAUCUA